AGAGUUUGAUCCUGGCUCAGGGCGAACGCUGGCGGCGUGCUUAACACAUGCAAGUUGAACGGUAAGGCUCCUUCGGGGGUACACGAGUGGCGAACGGGUGAGUAACGCGUGAGUAACCUGCCCUUCACUUUGGGAUAACAGUUGGAAACGACUGCUAAUACUGAAUGUUCUGGUCCUGCGGCAUCGUGGGGUUUGGAAAGUUUCGGCGGUGGGGGAUGGGCUCGCGUCCUAUUAGUUUGUUGGUGGGGUGAUGGCCUACCAAGGCGUUGACGGGUAGCCGGCCUGAGAGGGUGACCGGCCACAUUGGGACUGAGAUACGGCCCAGACUCUUACGGGAGGCAGCAGUGGGGAAUAUUGCACAAUGGACGGAAGUCUGAUGCAGCAACGCCGCGUGCGGGAUGACGGCCUUCGGGUUGUAAACCGCUUUUUCUCAUGACGAAGUUUUUUGACGGUAGUGGGGGAAGAAGCACCGGCUAACUACGUGCCAGCAGCCGCGGUGAUACGUAGGGUGCGAGCGUUGUCCGGAAUUAUUGGGCGUAAAGAGCUUGUAGGCGGUUUGUCGCGUCGAUAGUGCAAACUCAGUGCUUAACGCUGAGCCUGCUGUUGAUACGGGCAGACUAGAGGAAGGUAGGGGAGAAUGGAAUUCCCGGUGGAGCGGUGGAAUGCGCAGAUAUCGGGAGGAACACCGGUGGCGAAGGCGGUUCUCUGGGCCUUUCCUGACGCUGAGAAGCGAAAGCGUGGGGAGCGAACAGGCUUAGAUACCCUGGUAGUCCACGCUGUAAACGGUGGGUACUAGGUGUGGGGUCUGUUUUGGGUCCUGUGCCGUAGCUAACGCUUUAAGUACCCCGCCUGGGGAGUACGGCCGCAAGGCUAAAACUCAAAGGAAUUGACGGGGCCCCGCACAAGCGGCGGAGCAUGCGGAUUAAUUCGAGGCAACGCGAAGAACCUUACCUGGGUUUGAAAUAUAUCGGAAGCCCCUAGAGAUGGGGGUGCCUUUUUGGCCGGUAUACAGGUGGUGCAUGGCUGUCGUCAGCUCGUGUCGUGAGAUGUUGGGUUAAGUCCCGCAACGAGCGCAACCCUUGUCCAAUGUUGCCAGCAAGUUAUGUUGGGGACUCGUUGGAGACCGCCGGGGUCAACUCGGAGGAAGGUGGGGAUGACGUCAAGUCAUCAUGCCCCUUAUGUCCAGGGCUUCACGCAUGCUACAAUGGCCGGUACAAACAGUUGCGAGCCUGUGAGGGUGAGCGAAUCUGAGAAAGCCGGUCUCAGUUCGGAUUGGGGUCUGCAACUCGACCUCAUGAAGUCGGAGUCGCUAGUAAUCGCAGAUCAGCAACGCUGCGGUGAAUACGUUCCCGGGGCUUGUACACACCGCCCGUCAAGUCAUGAAAGUUGGCAACACCCGAAGCCGGUGGCCUAACCAUUUUUUUGGGGGGAGCUGUCGAAGGUGGGGCUGGUGAUUAGGACUAAGUCGUAACAAGGUAGCCGUACCGGAAGGUGCGGCUG
rnacentral:rRNA from 1 species